GCCUGUUCUUUGUGGUAUAGGGCUUUAAGGCAUGGGAGACUCUUCAUUUCAUGGUCAUGGGUUCGAGCCCCACAUUGGGCA